AGAGUUAUUCCACCUGAGGAGCAAGGGAGCUGGGGCAUUUAUACACCAACUCCCAUCAGUCAUUUUUUGCAGUUGCUUCCAAAUGUUAAUAUUCUAGCAUGUCUUGCCUGCCAACCACACAAGCACAAAAACCAUUCAAGGUGCUGGACAAACCCCUCAGACAACCAGAUGAACAUUCAGAAUUUAACUCUGUGGGUGGGGCACAUACAGCAUCUGUUACAGAUCUACCAAACUGACCAAAAAGAAAAGGACUGACAACAUUAAGUGUUGGUGUGGAUUUGGAGCAGCAGGAAUGCUCAAACUGUACUGGGGAAGUUGUGACUACAGCAACCUUGGAAAAAAACUGGCAUCUUUUAGGAUAAUCAUAAGAUGCUCAUACAAAAACAAAAACUAGUGCUUUCACUCCUAGGAGGCAUCCCUGAGUCCUGAUGCCUGACUGGA
rnacentral:sRNA from 1 species